rnacentral:misc_RNA from 1 species
AAUGGGUAAUUUUCCUGCAGUGCAUGGACUUCCUGCACCAGCAGCCAUGAAUGGUGGUGGUUAUUACCAAGGGAUGGGAGGAGUCAACCCUUACAAUCAACAAUACAUGGCAAUGAUGAUGAAUCAGCAGAGGCCAAAUGGGAAUGAUAUGUUUCAACCAAUGAUGUAUGCCCGGCCGCAUCCUGCUGUGAAUUACAUUCCGCCGCCACCAAUGCCACCGCAUCCUAUGGCAGAUCCCUACACUCACGUCUUCAGUGAUGAAAACGCCAAUAGUUGUAGUAUAAUGUGAAGUAGGUAGAGUAGUUUAAUAAUGUUGUCUUAGCUUUAUCUGGUAUAUGAAGCUUUGUAAUGGGUGAUUAUACAAGGGUGCAUGUGAUGGAACUUGAAAAUAGGUAGUAAUUUUUGUUUCAAACCCUUUGUUUGAUGGUAAUAUUUAUUUCUUUGUCAACUUGAGCGUGAAGGCUCAAGGGUUCCUAUUUAUACAACAACUGGAGCUAUCUUGGAUUUAUUGAGUCUAAUUUGC